rnacentral:rRNA from 1 species
GACGAACGCCGGCGGCGUGCCUAAUACAUGCAAGUAGAACGCUGAAGAGAGGAGCUUGCUCUUCUUGGAUGAGUUGCGAACGGGUGAGUAACGCGUAGGUAACCUGCCUGGUAGCGGGGGAUAACUAUUGGAAACGAUAGCUAAUACCGCAUAAAAUGGAUUAUCGCAUGAUAAUCCAUUGAAAGGUGCAAAUGCAUCACUACCAGAUGGACCUGCGUUGUAUUAGCUAGUUGGUGGGGUAACGGCUCACCAAGGCGACGAUACAUAGCCGACCUGAGAGGGUGAUCGGCCACACUGGGACUGAGACACGGCCCAGACUCCUACGGGAGGCAGCAGUAGGGAAUCUUCGGCAAUGGACGGAAGUCUGACCGAGCAACGCCGCGUGAGUGAAGAAGGUUUUCGGAUCGUAAAGCUCUGUUGUAAGAGAAGAACGAGUGUGAGAGUGGAAAGUUCACACUGUGACGGUAUCUUACCAGAAAGGGACGGCUAACUACGUG